GUUUAAAUCCGGGUCAUCACUAGACUACUCGAGGUCGUCGCAGCAUUGCAGCAACCAUGGCUUCGCCUCUAUCUGCUCUAGCACCUCUGAUCCCGCCCGCUCCGCAGGUGCCAGUGCCAGUGCCACUGCUUCCUCCUCCUCUUCCCGUGCCGGUGCCGUCGCCGCUGAACUCCGGCUUGCAGAAACUGUAGUCGAGGUUCUUGUGCUGCGGUUGGCUUGUUCUCAUGCUGCUGCUGCUGCUGCCCACCAAAGCGUGAGCUAGGAUACCUCUUCUGUAGCAGCGGUUGCAGCCUUGCAGGACUGAAGAAGGUGACGGGGCUGAGGAAUCAGUCAUAUAUCCGCUGCUGAUCGAUGCAUUGACGCUGUCGCACCUGCAGGCUAUACUCUGUUGCGGAUAUAUGAUUUCUGUGUUUCUAAACCGUUAAGUCGUUAACUGUGUGCACUGUGGUGCUCCUUAUAAUUCUGUUCGUUUGAGUACCUGUGAAUUGUGAUGCAUAUCUGUGAAUAAAAGGAGACGUGCUUGCUAGCGUAGUGUGAGGAGUGUUCAUUGACUCAUUGUUCAACACUUCAACUCCUAACACAAGUUCCUCUUUAUUGCUUAUUUUUCACCCGUAAAUAAAUAAAACGCCAUUAUCUUGGUCUUA